rnacentral:rRNA from 1 species
UACAGAGGUGGCAAGCGUUGUUCGGAAUUACUGGGCGUAAAGGGCGCGUAGGUGGCCUUGUUAGUCAGACGUGAAAUCCCCAAGCUUAACUUGGGAACUGCGUCUGAUACUGCAAGGCUUGAGUUCGGGAGGGGGAUGUGGAAUUCCAGGUGUAGCGGUGAAUGCGUAGAUAUCUGGAGGAACACCGGUGGCGAAGGCGGCAUCCUGGACCGAAACUGACACUGAGGCGCGAAAGCUAGGGGAGCAAACAGG